rnacentral:misc_RNA from 1 species
UUAGCACUCGGCUAACCCAGUGGGUACAAUUUCUUUACAUUUUAUUCACUCCCACAUUUUAUUCUUUCCAAUUAAGUGUACAUAGACAUGAGGUUUAGCACAUCUCUGGUUGUGGCAGCCAAAUUGAAGCUCUACUACUUGCAUGUGGCAACAAGGACUUUUCUGGGAGGCAAAGAAGGCCUUCUUCCAUGAAGCAAAGCAUAAUUAUCAAGAAAAAGGACAUCACCUGCUUCCCACUUGAAUUGGAUGCUCUCUUCUUCAAUGAUUUGAUCACAUCUCUUCACAAAUUUUUCUGGUACUUCAGUUCCAUCUGCCAUCAAAGCUGAGCUCAGCUCCUUUCCAUGCAUCCCAACUACCGUGUUGAACCACAUCCUCCUUCCUUUUCUUCCCUCGAACACCCUUGUUAAUGGCCUUGGACCCAGAAUUGUCUUCACACCUCCAUUGGGCAACCACUCCAUAUCCAUCCCUAGAGCCUUUGCCCUUCUCUCAGCCUCAGCACGGUCUGAUGUUCCAAAUGCAUCCUCCCAGCCUCUGCCCCUCAUGGAUGAUGUAUCAUUGUUGCUAAGAGCUGUGAAUGUGUACUUGAGCCCUUUUGCGUCAAUUUCUUCCACUUCUUGAGGGAACUCCUCUAGCAUCCUUUCUGUAACUUUGAAGCUAGGAACAAAGGGUGUCUGUCCUCCCUCUGGUGGUGGGAUCUGACAGAAAAGCACAACCUUCUUGGGAAAUUCUUUUAUCAAAACCAUCUCAUGGUGGUAGUAAAUGAACUCAGACAGUGGUCCUUCAUUAGCAGUCCAUACUCGUUUAUAAAUGUGUGUCCUUGGAGCAGGCCCUACGUAACGAAUAUCAUCCCAGCCGCAGGUUUCAACUAUAUCAUUAAAAUCCUCAGCUUUCUUCACAUCGAAACCUCGAAGCAGAACAGCACUGUUUUUGAUGAUCAUUUCCUCAAACCAGUCCUUGUUCCUCUCGAGAGCCUCCAGAAGUGAGUCUAAGCCAGCUUUGUGAGGUUCUGAAGGUUGCAACACAAGUGGCAUGGUCUCACCAUCCACCACCUUCUGUCCUUGG